GACGAACGCUGGCGGCGUGCUUAACACAUGCAAGUCGAACGAAGUGGCGAACGGGUGAGUAACGCGUAAUCAACCUGCCCUUCAGAGGGGGAAAACAGUUGGAAACGACUGCUAAUACCGCAUACUGAAGGAGGGGAUUGUGUCUGAUUAGCUAGCUGGCGGGGUAAAGGCCUACCAAGGCGACGAUCAGUAGCCGGUCUGAGAGUAUGAUCAGCCACACUGGUACUGAGACACGGCCCAGACUCCUACGGGAGGCAGCAGUGGGGAAUAUUGGACAAUGGGCGAAAGCCUGAUCCAGCCAUGCCGCGUGUCUGAAGAAGGCCUUCGGGUUGUAAAGGACUUUUGUUAGGGAAGCGGUACCUAAAGAAGAAGCACCGGCUAACUACGUGCCAGCAGCCGCGGUAAUUC
rnacentral:rRNA from 1 species